AUGUUAGCAAAGCAGUGUUGGCGACUUCUCCAAAAUCCUAAUUCUCUGUGUGCACGUGUUCUGGGUGCUAAGUAUUAUCCAAAUGGUGACAUACUGAAGUCAGGGCCCAAAAAGGGCUCAUCGUUCACUUGGCAAAGCAUUGUUGCAGGUAUACAAACCUUCAAGCGAGGGUGUAUUUGGCGGGUAGGGUCUGGCUCGCAUAUUAAUAUAUGGGACGAUCCCUGGAUUCCUUCUAGUGAGUCAAGAAGGAUCAUCACACCCAAGGGAGGGACUAUGCUGUCAAAGGUUGAAGAACUAAUACACCCGCACACGGGUCAGUGGGAUGUGGAGCUCCUUCGGGACAAUUUUUUACCCGUGGAUGUUACUAGAAUCUUACAAAUCCCUUUGCAUGUUGACGCUGUAGAAGAUUUUGUUGCUUGGCAGUUUACAAGGUUUGGUACCUCUUCGGUGCGAUCUGCUUAUCACUUCGAGUUUAACCACCAGUUUGGUCGCCACUACGGGCGAUUGGAUGCCCCAGGUGGGUCUCGGAGUAACCCCGUGUGGAAAAAACUGUGGCAUCUUCGAGUCGCGGGGAAAAUCAAGCACUUUGGAUGGAAGGUUCUGAAGGGGGUGUUGCCAUGCUUCAGUGUUCUAUCUGGAAGACAUAUUCCUGUAAUCCCCCAAUGUCCCUUCUGUAAAUUUGGUUUGGAGGAUAUACAACACUGCAUUUUCACAUGUUCAAGGGCCAUGGAAGUUUGGAAUGAACUUCAGCUGGCAGAUACUGUACAGAAGGCAGUACUACAAGAUCGCUCGGGGUCCAUCACUCUGGAGAUCCUCCUACAAUCUGAUUUUGUGAUACAUGAAAUCCCAGCACCAGAACUCAUACUAGUGGCAAUGUGGUACAUUUGGUGGCAGCGAAGACAAGUAGUGAAGGAGGAAACCAUACAGACUCCUGAUAGAACGGCCCUAUCGAUUAGGGUACUGGCUACAAAUUUUGUUCGAGCAACCUCACCAAACCAGCCAACCCAAAAGUUAGACCAGAUAUGGAGGAAACCUAACUCGGGUAUUGUAAAAAUCAAUGUGGAUGCGUCGUUCCAUGCUGAUACAAUGGUCGGGGCUUGUGGAGCCGUGGCGAGAGAUGAGCAUGGGAACUUCAUUGCAGCGGCGAGCUGGGUUCUGCCUCAUGUCGUUUCGGCAGAUUCCGCAUAA
rnacentral:rRNA from 1 species